GAUUUUAACUGAAAAAGUCAUCAAUAACAAAGUGGUAUAACUCAUCAAUAUCUAUAACUUUUAUUUGGGUCAUUUCUUCAUCCGAUAAAGUGAUUUAUAACAUUUUUCACAAAAUGUAUAUAUCUCUUAUAUAGUUUAUAAACUAUAGGAGAUAUAUGUAAAUUUUGUGAACAAUGAUACUAUCACUUUAUCGGAUGAAGAAAUGGCCAAAAUAAAAUUUAUAUAUAUUGAUGAGUUAUACAACUUUAUUGUUGAUGACUUUUUCAGUUGAAAUC
rnacentral:pre_miRNA from 1 species